ACAAUGACAGUUGCAUGAGCUUCAGACCUUGAGGAUUGCUUACUUGGCCCUUGUGAAACAGAUAUGGAGCUAACAAAGGGGUAAAAUGCAGUCAGAUUUCUAGUGUAAGAGCCUUCAAUGAUACUUCUAUCGAAUUUUCUUGAAGUGGCCCUAGAACUACAGCAAGAAAAUAAGAGCAGCCUACAACAAAAAUUACCUCAGAAAACCGCAAGUCUCGGAUAUCUGUGAUAGGUGCCUCCUCACUUCCGUAGCUGCAAAUUUGUGAAAAAUAGUCAUAUAUAUUUAUAUAUUAUGAUAUGUUUGUAAGUGAAUCAGUACUUUCAACGAAACAACCAAAAGUGGUAUUACCAGACGCUAUGUGGUGUCUCAAGAUUGAUCCCAUAUAUAUUGUAGAAUUUAACUCCAGAUGGAACCUUAGCUUCAGACAACACCUUGUGUGUCUCUUUAGCCCAUUUCAAGAUCUCCAAAUUGAAUGGAAGUGGAAUAUUCUCUC